CAUAGGUUAAUGAGGCGAACCGGGGGAACUGAAACAUCUAAGUACCCCGAGGAAAAGAAAUCAACCGAGAUUCCCCCAGUAGCGGCGAGCGAACGGGGAGCAGCCCAGAGCCUGAAUCAGUAUGUGUGUUAGUGGAAGCGUCUGGAAAGGCGCGCGAUACAGGGUGACAGCCCCGUACACAAAAAUGCACAUGCUGUGAGCUCGAUGAGUAGGGCGGGACACGUGGUAUCCUGUCUGAAUAUGGGGGGACCAUCCUCCAAGGCUAAAUACUCCUGACUGACCGAUAGUGAACCAGUACCGUGAGGGAAAGGCGAAAAGAACCCCGGCGAGGGGAGUGAAAAAGAACCUGAAACCGUGUACGUACAAGCAGUGGGAGCACGCUUAGGCGUGUGACUGCGUACCUUUUGUAUAAUGGGUCAGCGACUUAUAUUCUGUAGCAAGGUUAACCGAAUAGGGGAGCCGAAGGGAAACCGAGUCUUAACUGGGCGUUAAGUUGCAGGGUAUAGACCCGAAACCCGGUGAUCUAGCCAUGGGCAGGUUGAAGGUUGGGUAACACUAACUGGAGGACCGA
rnacentral:rRNA from 1 species